UUUUUUAUUAGAGGCUAAAAAAAAAUGUUUAUGCAAUGAUAAAACGAGUUAAGCAUUUUUUUUUAAGUUGCCGACUCACCUGACAUUGGAACAACCA
rnacentral:snoRNA from 1 species